rnacentral:lncRNA from 1 species
UAGUAGCAAACAGAGUGAGCACGGUAGUGUGCUAAACAGAGUGAGCACGGUAGUGUGCUAAACAGAGUGAGUACGGUAGUGUGCCAAACAGAGUGAGUACGGUAGGUAGUAAACAGAGUGAGUACGGUAGUGUGCUAAACAGAGUGAGUACUGUAAUGCACAAACAGAGUGAGUACGGCAGUAAACAGAGUGAGUACGGUAUAAAACUGAGUGAGUACGGUAGUAAACAGAGUGAGUACGGCAGUGAAGCAAACAGAGUGAGUACGGUGGUGUACCAAACAGAGUGAGUACGGUAGUGUACUAAACAGAGUGAGUACGGUAGUGUGCUAAACAGAGUGAGUACGGUAGUGUGCGAAAC